GCAUAUCAAUAAGCGGAGGAAAAGAAACCAACAGGGAUUGCCCUAGUAACGGCGAGUGAAGCGGCAACAGCUCAAAUUUGAAAUCUGGCCUCGGCCCGAGUUGUAAUUUGUAGAGGAAGCUUUUGGCACGGCACCUGCUGAGUCCCCUGGAACGGGGCGCCAUAGAGGGUGAGAGCCCCGUAUAGCAGGACGCCUAGCCUCUGUAAAGCUCCUUCGACGAGUCGAGUAGUUUGGGAAUGCUGCUCAAAAUGGGAGGUAAAUUUCUUCUAAAGCUAAAUACCGGCCAGAGACCGAUAGCGCACAAGUAGAGUGAUCGAAAGAUGAAAAGCACUUUGAAAAGAGGGUUAAAUAGCACGUGAAAUUGUUGAAAGGGAAGCGCUUGUGACCAGACUCGCGCCGGGCUGAUCAUCCGAGCUUCUGCUCGGUGCACUCUGCCCGGCUCGGGCCAGCAUCGGUUCUUGCGGGGGGAUAAAGGCCCUGGGAACGUAGCUCCUCCGGGAGUGUUAUAGCCCGGGGUGUAAUGCCCUCGCGGGGACCGAGGACCGCGCUCGGCAAGGAUG
rnacentral:rRNA from 1 species